rnacentral:lncRNA from 1 species
UUUAUCACUUUGUUUUCAUGCAUCCAUUAUGAGUCAAUUAUUUGAAGGAGAAAAAAUAUAGCUAUAAUUGAAAAACAUUGAAUAAGGAAAAUGCAGAUGUAUUUAGAAAGAAAUGCAGGUUUAGAAUGGCAUAAAAAAGGAAGUCUUGUCUCAGCUAUUUUUCCUUUACUUGUGAAUUACAAAGACAUUUUUCUUUUAGAUCUGUGCUGAGCUCCUAGCAAGUGUUCCUAAUAGCCACUCCAUUUGCAACCUAAAGAUUUUGCAUGGAAGGGGUUGUUUUAAUUAGCUUUUAAAUGUGAUAUCCACAGCAAAGGCUUUCAUAAGUUUCAUAAGUUUCUGCGUUCUCAUCCAAAACGUGUUGGCUGACUGUUGGAUUUUAUCCUGAAAUCAUUUCGAUUUAAAUGGCAGCCAAUCUGCCCUCCAUAUUGAGAUUUACUAACACAUUCCAUAUUGUAUUUACAGCAGGACCAUCCAUUAAAAAGAAAAAAAAAAUCCUAUUUCUGUGUUCUAUACAUCACAGCGUUUGCCCCAUAUGCAUUUUGUGCCUGUAAUACAUUGCAGUUGUAAUGUGUCUGGAAGGUGAUAAUCACGUCUCCCUCUAGUGGCAGCUCUCCGCAGCGAGGCUAAUAGCCUGCUACCCACUGACAGCUAAUAUAAUGACUCAUUUAACUCUGUAUUUACUGGUUUCGGCUAACCUUGUUCUUGUGAGAUUUCUAGCUCAUUUUGGCCAGGCGCUAUCACACAUCUGCUUUUUGAGCGAUUGCCGGCUUCUCCCAUACACGACAUUGAAAUGAACGUUGAGGGUCUGCAUGAUGCGACGCAAGAUGACAGGAAAGAAGAGAAACUGUGCACGGAUGCGCGAGCCUACAGUCAUGAGGAGGCUAUCGUUAGGGUACCCCCUAUAAAGGGAGAAGUGGAAAUACCUGAUCCAAACCUGACUGAAAUGACUGCAGACGUUUCUGUUGACUUAAUGGGCAAUGGUUCAGACUCAGUCUGUGAUAAAAGAGAAUGAGCCGUGCAGGACGAGGGUGUAAUUCCAUCAAGGAGUUCUGGUGACCUCAUAAACCAUGAGAGCUGGCAUUGACUUUAAUGGAGACCACGUGAUUAAAUUCCCAUGCAUCAUUUUGAAAACGUAGGGCUUCAUUUGAUAUUGCAGAAGGAUACCAGACCUACCAUGUCAAAUCGUUUCUCUUUCUUCUACAGGAGCCACUAGCUUUGUGUUACACUCACUCCUUUUUGGUAGCAAAUGAAAUAUGCCAUUCUGGAAAAUGAGUAUUUUCUCUGGCAAAAUGAACUUGAAAAGUACGUUUCAUAGAAAAGCACA